AACAGGGCCAUGUUCUUGUUGACUAAUGUUGCUAUAUAAAGGAAGAGAGGAGACUUUUGUUGCUGGCUGUAUCAGACUAGCUGGUAUCAGACUAACAAUCCCACUGAGAACAAUUAUAAAAGCUGGAUACCAUGCAUACAACAGCUGCUCAAAUGCAAUGGAGAGCAACCAAAGCAUUCAGGACUGAAGACACUGAAAUCCCAGGGAAAUGUGAGUGACCAAAGAGGUUCCAUAAUGCAAAGAAGACAAGAAUUGUGCCAAUGACAAGAAGAAUUAGAAUAUAUAAUGCUUCUUUGAGCACAUAAAACUCUCUGGAUUUGAGAAUUCAAUGGUGGCUUCCAGAAUCAGAGACAGUAAGAGGUAACAGAGGACUCAAUUCCAUGAGGUGAACCCAACUCUAAAGGCCACUGAAUGAGGAAGAUAUAAGAUCUUAGGAUCCAGGACUCAUUACAACAAAAGCUGCAAUACACAGAUGGCAUGUAGUAGAAAUGAUGUUGGGGCUUUGCCAACACUGAUGCUUUGGGUAGCAAGGAGGAACGUUGGGACAAGCAUAGAGGAUGGUGAUGAGAUAGCCCAGGUAAGCAUUAGAUUUGACCUCUUCUAGAUAAGCUGCUUAGAUACUAACCAAUAUAAUUGGAGGAUUACAGGAAAUCAUAUGCAGUGAAUUAGUCGACAUAGUAGUUAAACUCAAUUACUCCUUUUUCUUUAAAUUUUACACCUAUUUUUAUUAUCUUUAUAGAAAAUUGUCCCUUACAUAUUAUUCCUAAGUUAACAAAUGCUUAUUGAA